UAUGGUCAAAUCAGGCUGAAAACACCAGUUUUCCUUCGAUCAGCGAAGUUAAGCAGUAUUGAACCCGGUCAGUAUUUAGAUGGGGGACCGCUUGAAAACACCGGGU